rnacentral:rRNA from 1 species
UUUCCGUAGGUGAACCUGCGGAAGGAUCAUUACUGAGUGAGGGCCCUCUGGGUCCAACCUCCCACCCGUGUUUAUUUGUACCUUGUUGCUUCGGCAGGCCCGCCUCACGGCCGCCGGGGGGCUUCACGCCCCCGGGCCCGCGCCUGCCGGAGACAAUCUUGAACGCUGUCUGAAGAAUGCAGUCUGAGCGAUUAAGCAAAAUUAGUUAAAACUUUCAACAACGGAUCUCUUGGUUCCGGCAUCGAUGAAGAACGCAGCGAAAUGCGAUAAUUAAUGUGAAUUGCAGAAUUCAGUGAAUCAUCGAGUCUUUGAACGCACAUUGCGCCCCCUGGUAUUCCGGGGGGCAUGCCUGUCCGAGCGUCAUUGCUGCCCUCAAGCCCGGCUUGUGUGUUGGGCCUUGUUCCCCCGGGAACAGGCCCGAAAGGCAGUGGCGGCACCGCGUCCGAUCCUCGAGCGUAUGGGGCUUUGUCACCCGCUCUGUAGGCCCGGCCGGCGCUUGCCCAUCAAUCUAUUUUUUUCAGGUUGACCUCGGAUCAGGUAGGGAUACCCGCUGAACUUAA